rnacentral:rRNA from 1 species
CUACGGGCGGCAGCAGUGGGGAAUAUUGCACAAUGGGCGAAAGCCUGAUGCAGCAACGCCGCGUGAAGGAAGACGGAUUUCGGUCUGUAAACUUCUAUCAGCUGGGAAGAAAAUGACGGUACCAGACUAAGAAGCCCCGGCUAACUACGUGCCAGCAGCCGCGGUAAUACGUAGGGGGCAAGCGUUAUCCGGAUUUACUGGGUGUAAAGGGUACGUAGGCGGUCGCUUAAGUCAGAUGUGAAAGCCCGAAGCUCAACUUCGGGACUGCAUUUGAAACUGGGUGACUAGAGUACAGGAGAGGAAAGCGGAAUUCCUAGUGUAGCGGUGAAAUGCGUAGAUAUUAGGAAGAACACCAGUGGCGAAGGCGGCUUUCUGGACUGUAACUGACGCUGAGGUACGAAAGCGUGGGGAGCGAACAGGAUUAGAUACCCCGGUAGUC